UGUGAGCCAAGUAUUAUUGCACUUCAUGCAGCAGGGAAAUUACAAUUUCUUGCUAAAAGCAGCGUAAGA
rnacentral:lncRNA from 1 species